UUCUGGGAGGAUUGACAGAUUGAGAGCUCUUUCUUGGUUCGGUGGAUGGUGGUACAUGCUUGUUCUUAGUUGCUGGAGCGAUUUGUCUGGUUAAUUCCGAUAACGAACGAGACUCUAGUGUAUUAAAUAGGUGCGUGGUUCUCUGGACUUUGCACCCUUCUCAGCCGGACAAGCGGCUCCUAGCCGCACGAAACAGAGAAAUAACAGGUCUGUGAUGCCUUUAGAU
rnacentral:rRNA from 1 species